rnacentral:lncRNA from 1 species
AAAAAAAAAUUAUUAGGAUGGGGAUCGAACAUCUAACCAUCUUAUCACUUCACUCCUUCAAAUUUUGCAAUUAAGAUGAGAAUGACUUGAAACUUAUUUUCAUAUGUAGAACCGGCACUGGUGCAAAUCAGGAAUACAAUACAUUUUUUUUAAAAGAUUUCAAACAUGUUUUUAUGUGUGUUUUUUUUUUGGGUCUAUUUUUCACAUUAUGACAUGUAAAAAGGGCACGGUUUGCGGCCACAAGGUGUUCACAUAUGGUGUACAAUUAUUUGAUGACUUUG